CACGUAGGGGGGCGAGCGUUGUCCGGAUUCAUUGGGCGUAAAGCGCGCGCAGGCGGCUUGGAAAGUCGGGUGUGAAAACUCGGGGCUCAACCCCGGGCGUGCAUCCGAUACUGCCAGGCUUGAGGCAGGUAGGGGAGAUCGGAAUUCCUGGUGUAGCGGUGAAAUGCGCAGAUAUCAGGAGGAACACCGGUGGCGAAGGCGGAUCUCUGGGCCUGUCCUGACGCUGAGGCGCGAAAGCUAGGGGAGCGAACAGG
rnacentral:rRNA from 1 species